rnacentral:rRNA from 1 species
GACGAACGCUGGCGGCGUGCCUAAUACAUGCAAGUCGAACGAACCGCGACUAAGUGCUUGCACUAAGUCAAGGUGAGUGGCGAGCGGGUGAGUAACACGUGGGUAACCUACCUCAUAGUGGGGGAUAACAGUCGGAAACGACUGCUAAUACCGCAUAGGACAUAGGAUCACAUGAUCCAGUGAGGAAAGGUGGCGCAAGCUAUCGCUAAGAGAUGGACCCGCGGUGCAUUAGCUAGUUGGUAGGGUAAAGGCCUACCAAGGCGAUGAUGCAUAGCCGACCUGAGAGGGUGAUCGGCCACAUUGGGACUGAGACACGGCCCAAACUCCUACGGGAGGCAGCAGUAGGGAAUCUUCCGCAAUGGACGCAAGUCUGACGGAGCAACGCCGCGUGAGUGAAGAAGGUCUUCGGAUCGUAAAGCUCUGUUGUUAGAGAAGAACAGCGCAUAGAGUAACUGCUAUGCGUGUGACGGUAUCUAACCAGAAAGCCACGGCUAACUACGUG